rnacentral:rRNA from 1 species
GAUGAACGCUAGCGGCAGGCCUAACACAUGCAAGUCGAGGGGCAUCAUGGCGUAGCAAUACGCUGAUGGCGACCGGCGCACGGGUGCGUAACGCGUAUGGAACCUACCCACCGCAGGGGGAUAACCCGCCGAAAGGCGGACUAAUACCCCAUGGUUCCCCGACCCUGCCUGGGGUUGGGGGUAAAGCCUACGGGCGGCGGUGGAUGGCCCUGCGUGCCAUUAGCUGGCUGGUGGGGUAACGGCCCACCAGGGCGACGAUGGCUAGGGGGUCUGAGAGGACGAUCCCCCACACUGGUACUGAGACACGGACCAGACUCCUACGGGAGGCAGCAGUGAGGAAUAUUGGUCAAUGGGCGGAAGCCUGAACCAGCCAUGCCGCGUGCAGGAUGACGGCCCUACGGGUUGUAAACUGCUUUUCCAGGGAGAGAAACUUACGCACGUGUUGCGUGACUGACGGUACCCUGGGAAUAAGCAUCGGCUAACUCCGUG